UUCCCGGUUGAUCUUGCCAGUAGCAUAUGCUUGUCUCAAAGAUCAAGCCAUGCUUAUGUAAGUACGCAUGGCUGGUACAGUGAAACUGCGAAUGGCUCAUUAAAUCAAUUAUGGUUCCUUUGAUCACUCGCUCCUCUCCUGCUUGGACAACUGUGGUAAUUCUAGAGCUAAUACAUACUGACCGGUGCUGACCCUCUUCGCGGGGGUGGGGAGGGGAUGCAUGCAUUUAUCAUAUCAAAACCAGCCUGGUCAGCUCCCUCUUGGCCCCGGGCAGAGUGGGCACCCUAGAUAGCCUCCGGCAGAUCACAAGCCCCCCACCCCAUGGUGGCGACGACCCAUUCGAACAUCUGCCCUAUCAACUUUCAAUGGUAGUUGCCAUGCCUACCAUAGUGACCACUGGUGACAGGGAAUCAGGGUUCGAUUCCAGAGAGGGAGCCUGAGAAAUGGCUAACACAUCCAAGAAAGGCAGCAGGUGCACAAAUUACCCACUCCUGAUCCAGGGAGGUAGUGACAAAAAAUAGCAAUACAGGACCCUUUCGAGGCCCUGUAAUUGGAAUGAGUCCACUUUAAAUCCUGUUGUGAGGAUCCAUUGGAGGGCAAGUCUGGUGCCAGCAGCCACGGUAAUUUCAGCUCCAAAUAGCAUAUAUUAAAGUUGCUGCAGUUUAAAAGCUCGUAGUUGGAUCUCUGGAGCAAGGCAGGUGGUCCGCCAGGAAGCGAGCCAUCGCCUGUUCCGCCCCUUGCCUCUCUGGGCCCCUUAGAUGCUCCUGGCUGAGUAUCCCGCAGGCCCAAAGCAUUUACUUUGAAACAAUUAGAAUGUCCAAAGCAGGCCUGAGCCGCCUGGAUACUGCAGCUAGGAAUAAUGGAAUAGGACUGCUGUUCUAUUUUGUUGGUUUUUGGAACUGAGGCCAUGGUUAAGAGGGAGGGCCGGGUCAUUCGUAAGCGCUGCUAGAGGAGAAAUUCUUGGACCAGCGCAAGACGGACCAGAGUGAAACCAUCUGCCGAGAAUGUUUUCAUUAAUCAAGAAUGAAAGUCGGAGGUUCCAAGACGAUCAGAUACCGUCGUAGUUCUGACCAUAAACGAUGCCAACUGGCGAUGUGGCGGCAUUAUUCCCGUGACCUGCUGGGCAGCUUCCAGGAAACCAAAGUCUUUGGGUUCCAGGGGAGUAUGGUUGCAAAGCUGAAACUUAAAGGAAUUGACAGAAGGGCACCACCAGGAGUGGAGCCUGCGGCUUAAUUUGACUCAAUAUGAGACACGGAUAGGAUUAACAGAUUGAUAGCUCCUUCUCAAUCCUGUGGGUGGUGGUGCAUGGCUGUUCUUAAUAGGUGGAGUGAUUUGUCUGGUUAAUUCCGAUAACGAACGAGACUCUAGCAUGCUAACUAGUUAUGCAACCCCCGAGAGGUCAGCGUCCCCCAACUUCUGAGAGGGACAAGUGGCGUUCAGCCACCCAAGACUGAGCAAUAACAGGUCUGUGAUGCCCUUAGAUGUCCGGGGCUGCACGUGCGCUACACUGAUUGGCUCAGCGUGUGCUUACCCUAUGCCGGCAGGGCAGGCACGGGUAACCGGUUGAACCCCAUUCGUGAUGGGGAUCAGGGAUUGCAAUUAUUCCCCAAGAAUGAGGAAUUCCCAGUAAGUUCGGAUCAUAAGCUUGCGUUAAGUCCCUGCCCUUUGUACACACCACCCGUCGUUAUUACCAAUUGGAUAGUUUAGGGAAGUCCUCAGAUCGGCCCACCGGGGUCGGCCCACGGCCCUGGUGGAGUGCUGAGAAGACUGUGGAACUUAACUAUCUAGAGGAAGUAAAAGUCAUAACAAGGUUUCCAUAGGUGAACCUGUGGCAGGAUCAUUA
rfam:Cavia porcellus supercont2_7 genomic scaffold, whole genome shotgun sequence.